rnacentral:ncRNA from 1 species
AAGAAAGUAAUUAAGGGCGCAUGGCGGAUGCCUUGGCUCAUGGAGGCGAUGAAGGACGUGAUAAGCUGCGAUAAGCCGCGGUAAGGUGCAAAUGACCCUUGACCCGCGGAUUUCCGAAUGGGACAACCCACCCGCGCAAUACGCGGGUAUCACCGCACAGUCGGUGAGGCGAACCGGGGGAACUGAAACAUCUUAGUACCCCGAGGAAGAGAAAAUAAAUUAAUGAUUCCCCCAGUAGUGGCGAGCGAACGGGGAAGAGCCCAAACCGGCGUUGUGGCAACGCAUCGCCGGGGUUGUAGGACCGCGCCGUUGUACCUUGCGUGUGAGGAGAACUCUCCUGGAAAGAGAGGCCGUAGCGGGUGAGAGCCCCUUAUCCGAAGCACAAUGGGACAUAGCGGUAUCCUGAGUAACGCGGGACACGAGAAAUCCUGCGCGAACCGGCCGGGACCAUCCGGUAAGGCUAAAUACUCCCAUGAGACCGAUAGCGAACCAGUACCGUGAGGGAAAGGUGAAAAGCACUUCGACAAGAAGAGUGAAAUAGUUCCUGAAACCAUGCGCCUACAAGCGGUCGGAGCUGCUUUUGCAGUGACGGCGUGCCUUUUGCAUAAUGAACCUACGAGUUACCUUCACCAGCAAGGUUAAGGGCCACAAGGCCCGCAGCCGCAGUGAAAGCGAGCCUGAACAGGGCGUUUGUCCCCUCGGGGACAAAGCGCACGCAAGU